rnacentral:rRNA from 1 species
ACGUAGGAGGCAAGCGUUAUCCGGAGUUACUGGGCGUAAAGGGCGUGCAGGCGGUUGGCUAAGUUCGUUGUGAAAGCGCCCAGGCUUAACCGGGCGAGGACAAUGAAGACUGGUCAGCUAGAGGACGGUAGAGGGGUGUGGAACUUCUGGUGGAGCGGUGAUAUGCGUAGAUAUCAGAAGGAACAUCGGCGGCGAAAGCGACUCUCUGGCCCGUAACUGACGCUGAGGUGCGAAAGCUAGGGGAGCAAACGG